rnacentral:rRNA from 1 species
UACGGAGGGUGCGAGCGUUGUCCGGAAUCACUGGGCGUAAAGGGCGCGUAGGCGGCGCGGCUAGUCGGCGGUGAAAGCCCGGAGCUCAACUCCGGGUCGGCCGUCGAUACUUCCGGGCUUGAGCACUGUAGAGGCAGAUGGAAUUCCGGGUGUAGCGGUGGAAUGCGUAGAUAUCUGGAGGAACACCGGUGGCGAAGGCGGCGUUCUGGACGGCAUCUGACACUGAGAAACGAAAGCCAGGGGAGCAAACGGG